CCUACGGGCGGCAGCAGUGAGGAAUAUUGGUCAAUGGACGAGAGUCUGAACCAGCCAAGUAGCGUGAAGGAUGACUGCCCUAUGGGUUGUAAACUUCUUUUAUAUGGGAAUAAAACGUUCCACGUGUGGGAUUUUGUAUGUACCAUAUGAAUAAGGAUCGGCUAACGCCGUGCCAGCAGCCGCGGUAAUACGGAGGAUCCGAGCGUUAUCCGGAUUUAGUGGGGUUAAAGGGAGCGUAGGUGGGUUGUUAAGUCAGUGGUGAAAGUUUGCGGCUCAACCAUAAAAUUGCAGUUGAAACUGGCAGUCUUGAGUGCAGUAGAGGUAGGCGGAAUUCGUGGUGUAGCGGUGAAAUGCUUAGAUAUCACGAGGAACACCGAUUGCGAAGGCAGUUCACUGGACUGCAACUGACGCUGAGGCUCGAAAGUGUGGGUAUCAAACAGGAUUAGAUACCCUUGUAGUC
rnacentral:rRNA from 1 species